rnacentral:piRNA from 1 species
UCAAACUUUAAAUGGGUAAGAAGUCCGGCU